CGGAGGGUGCGAGCGUUGUCCGGAAUCACUGGGCGUAAAGGGCGCGUAGGCGGCCUGAUAAGUAGGGGGUGAAAUCCUGCGGCUUAACCGCAGGGCUGCCUUCUAAACUGUCGGGCUCGAGCACAGUAGAGGCAGGUGGAAUUCCCGGUGUAGCGGUGGAAUGCGUAGAGAUCGGGAAGAACAUCAGUGGCGAAGGCGGCCUGCUGGGCUGUUGCUGACGCUGAGGCGCGACAGCGUGGGGAGCAAACAGGAUUAGAUACCCUGGUAGUCCACGCCGUAAACGAUGGACACUAGGCGUCGGGGGGAGCGACCCUCCCGGUGCCGUCGCUAACGCAGUAAGUGUCCCGCCUGGGGAGUACGGCCGCAAGGCUG
rnacentral:rRNA from 1 species